AUGUAUGGCCACGCCACCCCGAAUGUGCCCGAUCCCGUCUGAUCUCGGAAGCUGAGCAGGGCCGGGCCUGGUUAGUACUUGGAUGGGAGACCACCUAGGAAGACCAGGUGCCGUAGGCA
rnacentral:rRNA from 1 species